UACGUAGGUGGCAAGCGUUACUCGGAAUUACUGGGCGUAAAGCGUGCGUAGGUGGUUUGUUAAGUCUGAUGUGAAAGCCCUAGGCUCAACCUGGGAAUUGCAUUGGAUACUGGCAAGCUAGAGUGCGGUAGAGGAUAGUGGAAUUCCCGGUGUAGCAGUGAAAUGCGUAGAGAUCGGGAGGAACAUCUGUGGCGAAGGCGACUAUCUGGGCCAGCACUGACACUGAGGCACGAAAGCGUGGGGAGCAAACAGG
rnacentral:rRNA from 1 species